CAGUAGCCGCGGUAAUACGAAGGGUGCAAGCGUUAAUCGGAAUUACUGGGCGUAAAGCGUGCGUAGGCGGUUUGUUAAGUCUGUUGUGAAAUCCCCGGGCUCAACCUGGGAAUAGCAAUGGAUACUGGCAAGCUAGAGUGUGUCAGAGGAUGGUGGAAUUCCCGGUGUAGCGGUGAAAUGCGUAGAGAUCGGGAGGAACAUCAGUGGCGAAGGCGGCCAUCUGGGACAACACUGACGCUGAGGCACGAAAGCGUGGGGAGCAAACAGGAUUAGAGACCCCCGUAGUCCCUGUCUCUUAUAA
rnacentral:rRNA from 1 species